UACGGAGGAUGCAAGCGUUAUCCGGAAUGAUUGGGCGUAAAGCGUCCGCAGGUGGCUAUGUAAGUCUGCUGUUAAAGAGUGAGGCUCAACCUCAUAAGAGCAGUGGAAACUACAUGGCUAGAGUGCGUUCGGGGCAGAGGGAAUUCCCAGUGUAGCGGUGAAAUGCGUAGAUAUUGGGAAGAACACCAACGGCGAAAGCGCGCUACUGGGCCAUUACUGACACUCAUGGACGAAAGCUAGGGGAGCGAAAGGG
rnacentral:rRNA from 1 species